GUGUUCGCUUCAGCAGCACAUAUACUAAAAUUGGAAUGAUACAGAGAUUAGUAUGGCCCCUAUGCAAGGAUGACAUAGAAAUUUGUGAAGUGUUCCAUAUUUAA